GUGCUGGCUUUGGCAGCACAUAUACUGAAAUUGGAACAACACAGAGUAGAAUAGCAUGGCCCCUGCGCAAGGAUGACCUACAAAUUCAUUAAGUGUUCUAUGUUUUA